rnacentral:ncRNA from 1 species
UUAAAGGCUUUGAAGGGAAAAAGUAGCGUGAAACGUGCUUUCAGAGAGUCGUUGGUCGGUGUGAAACGGCAGACGUUUUAAUGUGAAGAUACACCCCUGAGCUGUCCUUCGGGAACGGUAGCUACGUUAUAGCUUUUGAGGUUCGUGUGAAAUGGUCUAAACGCACGGAUAAACUGAGGUGGUACCGCGAUAAUUCGCCCUCUGU